GGUGUAAAAAAUUAAUUGUUUUUUAUAGUUACCGUCGUCAAGACUCAAAAUUGUUGAGUGAAUUUAUGCGUUUGUCAGUUAUGAAGCUGUAUGAUUUUAAAGACUAGUUGAUCCACUCAAUGAACCGCCGCCCUUUUCCCUUCCGUUCCCUCGCCGCCGUCGCCACUGCAGAUUCCGCCGCCGCCGCUAUGUCCUAUCGCCCACACUUCAGAGGUGGCCGUUCUCAAUUCGGGAGAGGUUACUGCGAUAGGCCGGCGGGUCCCGGAGACCGACCGGAAUUUGUGUCCGGCUAUUCCCACUUCAGUGCGGUUCGAAAUGCCAACCACAGCUUCCAGCCUAGCUAUAAUGCUGUCCCUCCGCCUCAGCAGCUGUAUAGGCCUGGACCGUGGUUUCAGCAGCCAGGGCCACCAAUGGCGCAGGCGCAUCAGAACCCGGGGCCUCGCCCGUUUAAGCACCCAUCGCAGGGACGGCCAGCUUAUGGUAACCAUCAGCAGUUCAGGCCACAACAAAUGCAGCAGCAGUUCAGGCCUAGGGCCACGAAGCCUCCGGAUUAUAGAGCGUGGGAGUACAGCAAACUGAAACUACCUCCUCAUUGUGAGCGAUUCACUGUUCUCUCUUACAAUAUACUGGCUGACUACUUGGCCGCCGAUCACCGGCACAAACUUUACUUUCAUGUUCCUGGCUAUAUCAUGGACUGGAAUUGGCGCAUGAAAAAUAUCAUUUUUGAGCUUGGAUUAUGGUCAGCUGACAUUUUGUGCUUUCAGGAGGUUGAUAGAUUCCAAGACAUAGAAGUGGAACUGAAUCAACGUGGAUACAAUGGCAUUUGGAAGAUGCGAACUGGUAAUCCUGUUGAUGGUUGUGCAAUAUUUUGGCGUGCUUCAAGAUUCAAGAUGAUUUUUGAAGAAUCUUUUGAAUACAGAAGGUUUGGCCUUCGGGACAAUGUUGCUCAAAUAUGUGUGUUUGAGUCUCUGAAUGGGUCGGGCAUCAGUAGUGGGGCGUCUACCCUGUCAACAAGUUCAGCAAGCUCUAACAGAGUUGUUGUCUGCAACAUUCAUGUGCUUUUCAAUCCUAAAAGGGGAGAUAUUAAGCUUGGACAGAUCAGGGUCCUCCUCGAAAGGGCAAAUGCUGUUUCUAAGCUUUGGAAUGAUGCUCCCGUAGUUAUUUGUGGAGACUUUAACUGCACUCCCAAGAGUCCCAUGUACAACUUUAUCAAAGAUAAUGAGCUAGAUCUGUCAAAAGUGGCUCGUGACAAGGUCUCUGGACAAGUCUCCGCUGAAAUAAAUCGACCAGCACCUGCUUAUCCUGAUUUUCGGGCAGAACGUGCUGCUACUUUUAUCCAAGCUCCAGCAGCCGACUCUAAAAGAGUAGAACAACAAGAUUUGCCUUUAAAUGCUCAGGAGUUUCCCCGUACUAACUUUUCCAGUAGUCCCCGUUCUGCAGGAAGCCACUUUCAGCCUGGAUCUUCGAUUGUGGCUGAGACUGAUUCAUGCUCUACUGUAGAAGACAGAAAACAACAAAUUAAUGACUUGCCUAACCAUGAUGCUGUAGAAAUUUGUGCCAGUGAGGGCAUGUCAAGUCCACCUAUCCCUCAUAAUGUUUUGAAUCAAAGUGUUAGUAAAGUUGAAGGUGGCAUCGAGUCUCCUAUUUUGUGCGAUAAGGGAACGGAUGAAAUUUCUAUGUUGGAGUCUUCUAGUAAAGAUAUCCACUCUCGGACAACUGAAGGAGGAGAAUAUGUAGCAGAUUUGUUAUCUGAAACCCCAGAUAACCAUAUUCAACACCAGGGCUUGUCUGGAAAUCAUUCAGAUGAUCUUUCUAUCACUUUGAACAUUAACUCAGAUUCAUCUGACAAUGAGGGCCCUUCGAACAAUUCUGGUGAGCCCAAUUCGUCCGAGCAUGAAGCUGUUGCAAUAUCUGCUUCAGCUUCAACGGGGGAGGAUAAGACAUGCAGUGUAUCUUCUACCCUCAAAUCUACAAGUUCUGAUAACAUACUGGAUCAGAAAUUUGAGACCUUGUCACUCGAUGAAGUAGUUAAUGAUGCUACACAGAAAGUCUUUGAAGAUUCCGAGUCAUUCUUAUGCGAAUUGCAUUCUAAAGAUGCUAGUUCCCCCAACCAAAAGCAGGAGAAUGUCUUUGGUACAGAAAAGUUCCGAUUCAGUCCAUCUGCUUGGACUCCAGCAGAAAUAGAACUGGCAACUGGCAGGGCAGACUGUAAGGUCAUGGAGCACCCUUUGAAGUUGACAAGUGCAUAUACAGAAGUUGAGAGUUCUUCGGAAUUAAGAGAUUCCAGUGGUGAGCCAUAUGUCACCAGCUACCACAAACUUUUCUCAGGCACGGUUGAUUAUAUAUGGCAUUCUCAAGGUCUAGAAACUGUAAAGGUGCUUGCUCCAAUUCCCAAGCAUGUUAUGCAUCAAUCUCGGGGAUUUCCCACGAAGGUUUAGUUUCUAAAACAAUCCGUGCAGGCUGUUAAACAGCGCUGUCUCCAUUUUAAGGGAGUUGCCCCCCUUCUUAGAUAAAAAUGGGGAAGUGAUCACAUCGCACUGGUUUCGGAAUUUGUCUUCACCAAAGGUAUCUCCUCAUAGUCUCCCGCGCCAAAUAUAACAUAUACUACACAUCAGUUGCAACUCCCGGGCAAGGUAAGGCAUUCUCCCAGCAUUAGCUUUUGCACUAUCGUUUCGCUGUCUCAAUUUUAUUUAAUCACUACUAAUAACUGGAGAGUUAGUUCUUGGAUGACUUCUUCCAAGAUUUGAGCUUGAACCUUUUGUCCAUGUUGAAUAGUAUUUAUUUUUUUCAAAAUUUAGUUGAAGUCAAGAUAGGAAUGAGUAGGAAGAGAGGCACCACAUGUGAUCACGUUGUAAGAAUAAUGUAUAGACGAAUGGGGAAUAAUUUGAAAAUAUUGAUGUAUGAAAUUUAAAUGAGACCACCAAUGUUUGAGAACACAAAACGUUGUCGUUUUGCGGAGCUGUGUUGCGUCGCUUUUAGCUUAGAAAGAAAUGACACAGCUGUGCUUUGUCUCUCUGUCUGUCUGUACUGUUCCACCUUUCAACUAUUGCCAAAAAUGUGGGGUCUAUUAUUGCUAAUUCAUUUCUACAGUAUAGUAAUUAUAUUUAAA